AUGACUUCCUCCUGGAUGUUGCUUUCCCUCGUCUUCCUUCUGGCUACCUCGUCGGCGCGCGCCGGCGGGUUCAAGCACAUCCACCUGUACAUGCACGAGACCUUCACGGGCCCGAACGCCACGCUGUUUUCAGUGGUGCCGCCCCUGCACCGGGGCGACAACGCAAGGUUUGGGAUGGUCGGAGUGCUCGACGACGAGCUGCGCGACGGCCCGGGCCCGAGAAACUCGUCGCUGGUCGGCCGGUUCCAGUCCCUCUUCGCCUUCGCGGGGCUGGUGACGCCGCCGGGCAUGCAGACGGCGACCAGCCUCGUGUUCACGGCCGGGCAGAACGCCGGGAGCACGCUGGUCAUGGUGGGCAGCAUCGUGAGCUCCGAGGGCCCCUACGAGACCGCCCUGGUGGGCGGCACCGGCGCGUUCAGGAUGGCGCGCGGGUACUGCGUUCUGAAGGCCGUAUGGAGCCCGACGCCGGAGUCCACCGUGUACGAGGUAAACCUGUUGUUGAAGCUGGGAGGAAACCUGUUGGCAAAGAUGGAUGCCUGGAAACGUACGUAUGCACUGUGA
rnacentral:rRNA from 1 species